rnacentral:rRNA from 1 species
UACGGGGGGGGCAAGCGUUGUUCGGAAUUACUGGGCGUAAAGGGCUCGUAGGCGGCCAACUAAGUCGGACGUGAAAUCCCUCGGCUUAACCGGGGAACUGCGUCCGAUACUGGAUGGCUUGAGUGUGGGAGAGGGAUGCGGAAUUCCAGGUGUAGCGGUGAAAUGCGUAGAUAUCUGGAGGAACACCGGUGGCGAAGGCGGCAUCCUGGACUACUACUGACGCUGAGGGAGCGAAAGCCAGGGGAGCAGACGGG